UCAAAGAAAAUCUGUCAUCUCAGGACGUUGGUGAUUUGUCAAAUCAGUUCAGCAAUCUUAAUGACAUCAAGAAAGCAUUGAAGGGGUGAUGGACUGAAACUUUUAUCUUUCUUCUGUGACACUAAGCAAUGAACCCUAAAUCAAUUGCAACACUAAGAUAGGAUUUGUGGAGUAAAACUUACGGAUGAACUCAAAGGCAUUGACGAGUGUAAGCGAUCCUCUUACAGCAAUA
rnacentral:lncRNA from 1 species